rnacentral:rRNA from 1 species
UGCUGCGGUGAAUACGUUCCCGGGUCUUGUACACACCGCCCGUCACACCAUGGGAGUCGGAAAUGCCCGAAGCGGUGACCCAACCGAAAGGAGGGAGCCGCGAAGGCAGGUCUGAUAACUGGGGUGAAGUCGUAACAAGGUAAC